GCCGGGAUAGCUCAGUUGGUAGAGCAGGGGACUGAAAAUC
rnacentral:tRNA from 6 species